CAGACUACACACAGCAAAAAAUAAAAAAAAAAUCAGCAAAGAACAGUCAGAAGAAAAUAUCCCUGUUAUACACAGAAUGACAAAAGAAUGGAAAAUUAAAAACAGGAAAGAAUAUCAAAGACAUAAUAUGGGCCGGGCAUGGUGGCUCAAGCUUGUAAUCCUAUCAUUUUGGGAGGCCAAGGCAUGAGCCACUGUGCCCAGCCCUAAAGAUAUCUGUACAUAGAAAGGGUAAAAAUACAGUAUUAUAAUCUUAUAGGACCACCAUUGUAUAUGUGGUACAUUUCAACUGAAACAUUGUUAUGUAGUGUAUGACUAUAUAUACAUACACACACACACAACCCUCUAUAUCCACAGGGGUUCGAGACCAGCGUGGCCAACAUGGUGAAACCCCAUCUCUACUAAACACACAAAAUUAGCCAGGCGUGGUGGCGGGUGCCUGUAAUCCCAGCUACUUGGGAGGCUGAGGCAGGAGAAUCGCUUGAACCCAGGAGUUGGAGGUUAUAGUGAGCUCCGGAGUUGGAGGUUAUAGUGUGUAUGUAUAGACAAUUUUAACACACAGUCUAUACAUACACACACACACACACAUACAUACACACAAACAUAUAUGUAUACCCAAUCCAUAUGUGGAAUCUGAGAGGAAAGGAAAUGAGAAUAGGGCAGAAGAAAAAAUGGCAUAUGGCUAAGAAUACUCCAAUAGUGACAAAGGACCCAAGCCUCAGAUUCAAGAAACAGUAUAAAUUCAAGGCAGAUGAAAGCAAACUCCACCUAGACACAUCAUAGUGUAUCUGAUGAAAAACAAAAACAGAAAAAUCAGCUCAGCAUGGUGGCUUAUGCCUGUAAUACCAGCACUUUGGGAGGCCAAGGCAGGCGGAUCACCUAAGGUCAGGAGUUCGAGACCAGCCUGGCCAAUAUGGUGAAACCCCGUCUCUACUAAAAAUACAAAAAUUAGCCAGGUGUGGUGGCACAUGCCUGUAAUCCCAGCUACUCGGGAGACUGAGGCAAGAGAAUCACUUGAACCCCGGAAGCAGAGGUUGCAGUGAGCAGAGAUGGCACAUGGCACUCCAGCCUGGGUGACGGCGUGAGACUCCGUACCAAAAAAAAAAAAAAAGAAAAACAGAAAAAUCUCAAAAACAUCCAGGGAGUAGGGAUGUGGGAUACAAGGCGACAGAUUACCUUUAAAAGGAUGAUGAUAAGGCUUAUAGCUAACAAUAAGUGAUAAAGAAUGGAAGCCAGAAGAUAGUAAAAGAAAAAUAGUAACCUAAAAUGAUAUAGCAAAAACAUCCAUCAAAAAUGUAGGAAAAGUAACCAUCAAAAAUGUAGCUGAUCAAUGAAAAAGUAGUACGUAUAAGAAAUGGUCUUCAAUGGCUGUUAAUAUAACAAAAAGAUGAAUGUUCUACACCAAAUAUUCUACGCCACAUAUGCAAAUAUACACCAACACCUAAUAAGUUUACUUGCCAAAAAAAAAAAUCUAAUAAAAAUCUCUCAAUCCAGGGUCAGCAAUCUUUUUCUUUUUUUUAUGGAAACAGGGUUUCCUUCUGUCACCCAGACUGGAAUGCAACAGCGUGAUCACAGCUCACUGCAGCCUCAACCUCCCCAGGCUCAAGCGAUUCUCCCACCUCAGCCUCCUGAGUAACUGGAAUUACAAGGACACACCACGACACCUGGCUAUUUUUCUGUGUCUUUAGUAGACACGGGGUUUCACCAUGUUGCCCAGGCUGGUCUCAAACUCUUGAGCUCAAACAAACCUUCCACCUUGGCCUCCCAAAGUGCUGGGAUUAUAGGUGUGAGCCACCAUGCCCAGCCAGCAACCAUUUUCUAUAAAGAAACAGAAUAGUGGCUGGGCGCAGUGGCUCACGCCUGUAAUCCCAGCACU
rnacentral:lncRNA from 1 species